GUUACGUGUACCUACAGAAGAAGCACCGGCUAACUCCGUGCCAGCAGCCGCGGUAAUACGGAGGGUGCGAGCGUUAAUCGGAAUUACUGGGCGUAAAGCGCAUGCAGGCGGCCUGUUAAGUCAGAUGUGAAAGCCCGGGGCUCAACCUCGGAAUUGCAUUUGAAACUGGCAGACUAGAGUACUGUAGAGGGGGUAGAAUUUCAGGUGUAGCGGUGAAAUGCGUAGAGAUCUGAAGGAAUACCGGUGGCGAAGGCGGCCCCCUGGACAGAUACUGACACUCAGAUGCGAAAGCGUGGGGAGCAAACAGGAUUAGAUACCCUGGUAG
rnacentral:rRNA from 1 species